rnacentral:tRNA from 1 species
GACCGAGCAGACGACUACCCCCCCCUCCUAAGGGGCAGGUUGCAGGUUCGAAUCCUGCCGGGGUCACCA